rnacentral:rRNA from 1 species
UACGGAGGGGGCAAGCGUUGUUCGGAAUUACUGGGCGUAAAGGGCGCGCAGGCGGCUGCUCAAGUCAGGCGUGAAAGGCCUGGGCUCAACCCGGGAAUUGCGCUUGAGACUGGGCUGGCUUGAGUGCGGGAGAGGAUGGUGGAAUUCCCAGUGUAGAGGUGAAAUUCGUAGAUAUCGGGAAGAACACCCGUGGCUAAGGCGGCUCUCUAGUACGGUACUGACGCUGAGACGCGAAAGCGUGGGGAGCGAACAGG